AUGUGAGAAAUAUGUUAUUUAACUUGGUUACCGAUACAAGUUAGAUAGUAGUAAUAAAGAUUGGUGCAUAAACAAUUACCACACUAAACUUAAGGGGCUAAAGGUGACAUGUUAUGAAAGUUGAAUUAAUAAAAAUGAAAUAAAAAAAAAUAAAACACACACAUCAGAUGUGUGUGUGUGUUCGACGCCAGAGCCAAGAGAAGAAGGGGAAACCCUUUCUAAUCACACAAAUUCAUCCAAUUGAAGCCCUAAUCAUGGCCAUUGCUCAUGCAUGUUGGUGAUUUCUUGAUCAUCUAGACUUACUAAAGCUUAAGGAACGUGUCAAGGAGAGCUCAAGCAUAGGAGGAUAACGGGUCAAGAUAAGGCAAGGUGACAAAUACACUUAUUGGAGUACUCAAGGUAAUGCAGGAAUGAGAACGACGGAUUCUCGUGGAAUGGAAGCUGAACUCGGAACGAGAGAUUCCGAGAGGAUAGUCGGAUAAAUCAAAGUUUACUUUGUCGAAUGUUAUACUAUUUAAUUAUAUGUGAAUUUGGUUGUACGAUGAUGUCAACGACUAAUGGUUAGGUUGUAUGUGAUGCCCACAGGUACUACUCGGACUCCUUCUACCUUUAAGGAUGAUAAGCGGGCGUGGAUCGAGUCGAAGAGCAAGGAUUGUACGGAAAGAACGGUCACAUAGUUUGAAAUACGUAAUGCUUUGAAACGUUAAUUUAAUGUAAAUAUUGUAAACCUCUUCCAGUAAGCGCUUAACAUUUUCGUAUUUGAGCUUUUAUGUAAGUAAUGUGUCUAAUAAAGAUAGAAAUUUUAAGACUCGUAUUUCCGCUGCGUCAUUUUAAAGCUAUUACGUGUUAGGGUGUAACAAGUUGGUAUCAGA